GAAAUAAUCCGGACCCAUCAUGGAUCAUAAUUUUAUGGUAUUAUGAUUUAUGAUACCUGGUGUAUAGUCCUGUACCAUCAAAAAGAAUUGGUAAGAUCACUUAUAUAGAAUCCCGAUCCUAACAUCAAAAUUUGUUAAUAUCUGAAAUUAAAUCCAUGAGUAAUUAUAUAUGUUUCUUCAGUUUAAUUCGACAUCUUUUACUCUUUGCAUGACAUCUGACCAUUAAAUUGUUUUAAAUUAUGAUUAGAUAAUGUUUGGAGUUAAGUUGAAAUGUCGAAUUGACAUUGACAUGAAUAAGUAGACUCGAGUUUACAAGAAUUAAUAAAUUUAUAAAAAUAGCAUUGUAGAUUUCUUUUCAAGACCUUGUUUAACUUUUUAAUACAUGCAUUUUUUUACUCAUUACGCUGCAAAAUCCCCCCCCCCUUCAAUUCUUGACACAGUGUCAAACUCAUUUGUUGUGUUUAAGCUCUUGCAAUGAUCUAUAUAAGCUGCCAGCUUUUGUAUAAGAGGGCCGGGUUAGAGAAGUAUAUCGUGUCAACUGCGCCAAUGAAAUCCUUUUAGAGUAAACUAGAGCAAAUGAGAAGCUUUAUGAGCCCUAAUACCAUUUAAGAUUUCCAUUGUCCUUCCUACCCUGUCAAAUGAACACUCAAGCUCAUAUAGAAGUGACAUGUGUGGUUGUUGCAUCAAGAAGCAACCUUAAGGGAGGAUUUUGCAACAGGGUUAGGCUUGUGGGUUCGUUAGGCCCUUCACACAACGUGUGCUUGGAGUAUUGCUUGAAAUGGAGAGAGGAGGUUUGGGCAUCAAUCACUCCCCCAAGUGGCCAAGUUGAAACCAGGAGCAGCACUGUGACAGAACAAAACAGAUGCCAACUUUUCUGACAUGGGCCUCAACUUUUUUUCCUAGAGUCACUCCACAUAGUAGAGGCCUUAAUGUAACUAUUUUUCUUUUAGGGGAUAAUUGCAACUCAAGAUGACUACUAGGAGCUUGAGCCGUGCACACAUGCGUUAGUGGCAAGCUUGCACCUACUCUGAGCAGAGGAGGGCACAGUUGGAGCUUGCAAGGACCACGGUGUGGAGCACUGACGCUUAGGGAUGCAAACAGGCUAACCCAGAUAUAGGGCUGAAUCAUGUUGGCAACUGUAGCAUAGACUAUAAGUGGGUUCGCAGGCUAGCCUGCUUGAUUUGCAGCAAUAUAUUAUGGUGGAGGGAUGCCAUUGACCUUGUUGACGCCGGAUUUCGUCAUCAGUAGAAUCGGCGCCAAAGAAGAAAGAAAUCGAAGGAAUACGAGUGGGGAUCGGCCAAAAGGUGCUACAAUGCGGAAUCGGUCAAGUGGCUUUUACUUCGCUUCAGGGUGAAUGCGCCAGGUUCCCAAUCGGCAAUCCUUUAAGAAAUCGGCCGAUCGGGAAGGUGGAUUAAGGUGGGCCUGUAUGGGCUUGGAAAGAUGGAGGGAUAAGGUGGAGUUCAGCCCACGGAGUGUGGGGUAAUUAGUUUAGUACGGAUUGUGCUUGUAGAUAUUUGUUUUCUGUUUGAAUUAGAGAUAGAGUCCUAGUCGGUUAAGAAGAUUAUUUGUACGGGGCUAUAAAUAGCUACCUUUGUAAAUCUGUAAACACAACAAUCAAUCAAUACAACAAGUUACUUUCUUCUGCGCAUCUACUUUUGAGCAGGCGACUUCGCCAUCAAUUUUCUUUCUCACGAGUUCGUACGGGUUGGCAGGGCUGCAUCGUCUUGAUCUCCGGCCGAUUCUGUAAGUUCCGUUUAUCGAGUAAUAUCUAGGCUUUGACUUCCGGCGUAUCGCUGUUGUUUCGUCUAGAUUUAUUCACCAGUUAUCGAUAUUGACUAGAUUCAUAGGUUUUUACCUGCCUUCCUAGUUUUUAUCACCAGUUAUCCCGCUAGGAAUCGGUAGUAUCGGCUUUCAUUACUUCCUGUUGCCAGAUCCAUCUGUUGCCGAUUAGAUCUUUUCCUAGUGCUGUUAUUACGUGCCUUGUACCGAUUACUUUAAUAUUUUUCUAUCUACAAGGCUACGGGGAUCGUGCUGUCUCGUGGCCGAUUUCUUUACCAUAGUAAAUCGGCUGAUCUGCCGAUAAACUCUCUCGAUCGGAAACUUAGCCGAUCGUAGUUACUGAAUUUGACACGUGUUCUUCCUUGCCAAUCAACAGGUCAGAUUGGCUGGCACGCCGCGUGAACCGCACCAGGGCAUUCACCCGAACAGGAGCUAAGCAGAUUCUCCCGGGUCGUGUGUCGGUCGCUGGGAUUCGGUUGACCGAGUUCUAGCGCCAACACACUUUUGGCACGCCCGGUGGGACCAAUACAACCGCUAUCAUGUCGAAAGCUGCUGAAGUCUCCGAAGAUAACGUCAUCGAAGUGACGGAAGCAGAUCUAAAGGACGACCAAAAAGAAGAUCUGAAUCAGUAUUUGGAGCAAGUCCGGAAAACUUGCUUGAAAUCCUUCAGUCGUUCCAGGAGCGGGGAAACUGUUAAAAAGUCUCCUUUCCCUACUCCCCGCCAGAUCACGAUUUCAGAAGAUUCGGACAAAAUGUCCGAUAUGAUUCAGCAAUCUCUUCAUCACGCCUUCAUCAACCAAUCCCCGGUACUUUCAAACAUGGUGCACAAUGCUGUUGUCAACUCCUUCGCCGGAGGUAUACCACAAGGGUACAGGGGGCCUACGUAUUUUCAGCCGAUUCCACCAAAUCAGGCUUAUCGGGCUUCACAGCCGAUCCAAUCCUCUGUCGGAGGAUCGGUGCUUCUACGUCAUCAACUCCUUUGGGAUACGGCUCCAUCCAGCCGUCCACUGCACCACUCCCUCCAGUCAUCCCUUUACCCUGGGGGGCACCCUUAAACACGACCGGUUUGAAUCAAUCGGUCAGCCAAGGAAAUCCUCCGUUCCAGACACCCUCCCAAACGGCCACUCGGCCGAUCAUACCACCAUACCAGCCUAUCGCUCCGGAGGUCAACAAGACGUCAGAGCUCAUGCUAUAUGAUGAAACGAGUGGUGCCUACAAGCAGCCGUCCUUUACUACACCGCCGGCUUAUACUCAGAUACCACCUUUUCAUCAACCUCCUUUUAUUCAACCUCCGAUUUAUCAACAUGUGCCGAUUCCGCCGCCGAUUAUUCCCCAACAACAACCGGAUUGGACGGCGCAAAUCGCGGAGGUAAUGCAAGAACAAUUCGGCCUGAAGCCGAAGGUGCAAACUUAUACCUACAGGACACCAUACCCAUCCACGUACGACUUGUUGCCGUUUCCCCAUCGGUACAAAGUUCCGGAUUUCACUAAAUUCUCCGGAAUGGAUGAUACUUCUACCGUGGAACAUGUGAAUAGAUUCAUCAUCCAAUGCGGAGAAGCAGCUACGCAAGAUGCCCUGCGGGUACGGUUGUUCUCGUCAUCUUUGUCUGGAUCGGCUUUCCAGUGGUUCACCACUUUGCCACCAAACUCGAUUAUCACAUGGGCCGAUCUAGAGAGGCAGUUCCACAAGUACUUCUAUGCUGGAGUCCACGAAAUGAAGUUGUCUGAUUUAACUAGCCUCCGGCAACGAAGUGAUGAGCCGAUACCCUUGUACAUACAGAGGUUUCGGGAAAUCAGAAACAAAUGUUACUCCUUGGCUCUAACCGAUGCACAGUUGGCCGAUAUAGCUUUCCAAGGCCUGCUGCCACACAUUAAAGAAAAAUAUGCUUCACACGAGUUCGAGAGCUUGAGCCAGAUCGUCCACCGAUUGUCCGGGCAAGAGGUGCGUCCAUUUGAUCCAAGGAGGAAUUUCUAGAAGAAAGUAGCAUUCCUGGAAGAAGUAGAGGAUGAAGAAGACGCCGAAAUCGGACUUGCAGAGUGGAUUAAGGGAAAGAAGCCAAUAUCAUGCCCGUUCGGCAAAAAGGAGCCGGAGGCAUUCGGUUUCGAUACUACUAAAGCUGACAAAAUAUUCGACCUUCUACUCCAGGAAGGACAGAUUAAACUCUCGCCUUACCACACGAUACCCUCUGCCGAACAGUUGAAGAAGAUGAAGUAUUGCAAAUGGCACAAGGCCACGUCACAUGAUACCAAUGAGUGCAAAAUCUUCAGACAACAAAUACAGUCGGCCAUUGAGCAGGGCAGACUCAAAUUUGAAGUGCCGGCAAAACCGGCCAAACCAAUGAAGAUUGAUCAGCAUCCUUUUCCUACCAACAUGGUGGAUACGGGUAAGAAUCCCCUCCAGACAAAAGUGCUGACAUCCGAAUCGGCAAAAAGGAGUGGCGCUGUCGAUCCCAGGAAUCAAGUCACGUCUGAAGACAUCAAGGGGAAGCGACGGAUGAAGGCCGACGAUGGUGAACCAGAAGGACCACGCAUUACUUCCCAGUUCCUGCUCCAAAAAUACCAACGCCAACAUGAACGAUCAAGGUCCCGAGAGGAAGCAAUGCGUCGGCACGAGGAACACUGGAGAUGCCCAUUCUUCAUCCAUUGUUGGGAAAAUAACCUCAGACUUCCAUCAGCCGAUACUUGCCCAGAGUGCAACGGCCCCUAUCGAAGCAAUCGGCCGUUCACAAGGUCUCGCUCCAGAGACGGAAGGCCAGAACCGAUCAGCAGGAAUCGGCGUAACCCAGAUGAUCAGCGCCCUUCCAUACGUGAUCGGCUGGGGGGCAGAAGUGACCGAUAUGAUCGGUCAGAAGGCAGAAGCCAUAAUAGGCAGGGGGGCAGGACCGAUCAACACGAUCAAUCAAAUAGCAAAGCCAGCGUUCACAGCCGGCUCGAAGACAUGGCCGAUGCUCGGGUAACGGACGAGAACCCGUUAGGACGCGAACCAGAAUGGGAACGCGCCGGGAAAGAAGGGAGGCCAAUAAACCCCAGAUGGUGCCCCGACGGUUUAACCAAAUCACAAAAACGGAGAGUCCAACGCCUCCACCAAUGGGAGCAGCAAGAAGAAGAGGGCACGAUGGACAAAAAGCAAGAAAGGCCUCAGGUGUGGCGCCCCAAAAGAAACGACAAGGGCAACGAUGAGUCGGCGGGCGACGAAUCGGCAGCCGAAAUCGGUAUGGUCUUCAUAUUGCCGAUGGAGUUUAUGACCCCUGCCGAUCAACAGGAUGUGUCGGCGAUAGAGGAACAAACAGCACGGUUGACUUUAGAACCGAUGAUGGCCACGUUCGAAAAGCCCGAAGACGACGAACGACAACAUAUGAAGGCAUUGUUCCUUAAAGGGCAUGUUGACGGACGCCCCCUCACUAAAUUGAUGGUCGACGGGGGAGCCGCCGUCAAUAUCAUGCCGUAUGUCGUACUUCGGAAACUAGGAAAGAGCGACGACGACCUGACCAGGACGGACAUGAUGCUCAAGGACUUCGAAGGCAAGGUGUCAAACGCUCGUGGUGCCCUCUGCGUCGACCUCACCAUCGGCAGUAAGACCCUUCCUACCACGUUUUUCAUCAUUAAUGGCAAAGGGUCCUAUAAUAUGCUUCUUGGACGAGACUGGAUACACGCAAACUGCUGCAUACCGUCAACUAUGCAUCAAUGCCUGGUACAAUGGGUCGGCGACAACGUCGAGGUGGUCAAAGCCGACUCCGCGUACAGCAUCGCAGCAGCCGACGCACAGCAAUGGAGCUGCGAAACCGUCAGGUGCAUAUUAGGUAGGGUGUGGGAAACUGAUUUCCUGAAGGUCACCGAUUUUGGCCUACAGCCGAUCCGAGCAGUCGGCUCUGAAGAAGCGCAAUAAAUGGAUCAGUUCGCCCGAGAAGACGGGAAGCUGGGACACGGAUUCACGUCGGCCGAUUCAUUAGAAAUGGUAGAUUUAGGUGACGGGACCAAGCCAAGGCCGACUUUUAUUAGUGCAAAUUUAGAUCCAGAGUACAAGUGUAAAUUGACAAAUUUAUUAAGAGAAUUCAAGGAUUGUUUUGCGUGGGAGUAUCACGAGAUGCCCGGAUUAGAUCGAUCUAUUGUUGAACAUCGGCUACCCAUAAAACCAGGGUAUCAGCCGUACCAACAACCCGCACGGCGAUGCAAUCCUAAAAUUUUACCAGACAUAAAAGCCGAAAUAACUCGGCUAAUUGAAGCAAAAUUUAUUCGGCAAUGUCGUUACGCCGAGUGGAUUUCUAAUAUCGUACCGGUGUAUAAGAAAAAUGGGAAGCUGCGCGUUUGCGUCGAUUUCAGAAACCUUAAUCAGGCCACACCAAUGGAUGGCUACCCCAUGCCUACGGCCGAUGUACUGAUCGACGCUGCCGCGGGGCACAAAAUUAUUAGCUUCAUGGAUGGGAACGCCGGAUACAAUCAAAUACUUAUGGCCGAAGAGGACAUACCCAAAACGGCUUUCAGAUGUCCAGGCCAUCUUGGUCUAUUCGAGUGGGUGGUGAUGACUUUCGGUUUGAAGAAUGCUGGUGCUACGUAUCAGAGGGCCAUGAACUAUAUUUUCCACAAACUCAUCGGCCUCCUGGUGGAGAUCUACAUCGACGACGUUGUGGUCAAGUCCAAAAGCCACGAGGAACACCUAGCCGAUUUGCGAAGGGUCCUAGAGUGUACCAAAAAACAUGGUCUUAAGAUGAAUCCCAACAAAUGCGCUUUCGGCGUCUCCGCCGGACAGUUCUUAGGAUUCAUGGUGCACGAACGAGGCAUUGAAGUCAAUCAGAAGACCAUAGCGGCUAUCAACAAAGUCGUCGCCCCACAGAACAAAACUGAGCUACAGUCUCUAAUCGGCAAGGUAAACUUCAUCAGAAGAUUUAUAUCUAAUCUAUCUGGACGGAUCCAGGCGUUCACACCACUUCUGAAGUUGAAGCCAGACCAAGAAUUUAUUUGGGGAGAAGAACAGCGCGAGGCGUUAGAAGACAUCAAGCGAUACUUGGUCUCACCCUCGGUCCUGGUUCCCCCUCAAACGGGUAAGCCGUUUAAACUAUAUUUAUCAGCCGGCGAAAAAGCUAUUGGGUCGGCUCUAGUCCAAGAGUUUGAAGGCAAAGAACGGGUGAUUUAUUACGUUAGUAGAAGACUCCUGGAUGCCGAAACAAGAUAUCCUCCAGUGGAGCGUUUGUGUUUGUGCCUUUACUUCUCGUGCACCAAACUCAGACACUAUCUACUGUCGGCAGAGUGUAUAGUCGUAUGCAAAGAUGAUGUAGUGAAAUACAUGCUGUCACUGCCGAUAUUGAAAGGGCGAAUCGGAAAAUGGAUUUUAGCUCUAUCAGAAUUUGACCUACGGUACGAAUCGGCAAAAGCCGUCAAAGGUCAAGUCAUGGCCGAUUUCGUUGCCCAGCACUGUGGGCCAGAGAUUGCCUUCGUGGAACUAGCUCCUUGGCAGUUAUUUUUUGAUGGAUCAUCAUGCGGAGUCGGAUCGGGAAUCGGCAUCGUUCUCAUAUCGCCUCGGGGGGCAAGAUAUGAUUUUUCUCUGCCGAUAGAAACCGCCGCCACAAACAAUCAAGCGGAGUACAGAGCCGUAUUAAAAGGCUUACGAUUAUUGAGGGAAGUCAAGGCCGAUUCUGUUGAAGUCUUCGGAGAUUCGAUGCUAAUUGUGGAUCAACUAACCGGAAGGGCUGAGUGCAAAGAUGACAUAUUACGAAUUCAUCACGAAGAUUGCUUACAGCUUUUAAAAGAAUUCAGAUCGGCAGUAAUCGAGCACGUCCCAAGAGACCGCAACGAGGAAGCAAACAAACUCGCUCAACACGCAUCAGGGUAUCGGCCGAUUCCAGGCGCCAUGGCCUUAGAGCUUGCAGCCGACGAUUGGCGUAAGGAAAUUGCCGAUUACCUGAAGGAUCCAUCUAAAAAGGUGGAGCGACGAGUGCGCUUUCACGCUACCAAGUACGUACUGCUCGAAGAUGAUCUGUUCUACCGAACGAUCGAUGGUGUUCUUCUUAAAUGCCUUGGGACAGAAGAAGCCAAGACUCUAAUGGGAGAAAUCCAUGAAGGGGUAUGCGGAGCUCACCAAUCGGCACAUAAGAUGAAGUGGAUGAUCAGAAACAACGGGUACUAUUGGCCUACGAUCCUCGAAGACUGUUUUAAAUAUUAUAAGGGUUGUCAGGAGUGUCAAAAGUUUGGAAAUGUCCAACGUGCACCCGCGUCGGCCAUGAAUCCCAUCAUCAAACCAUGGCCGUUCAGAGGAUGGGGAAUAGAUCUUAUCGGCCAAAUUUAUCCACCAUCAAGCAAGGGGCACAAGUUUAUUCUGGUUGCUACCGAUUACUUCACCAAAUGGGUGGAGGCAAUCCCACUAAGGACUGUGACUUCAGCUAUCAUGGCCGAUUUCGUAAGGGAUCAUAUCGUCUACCGAUUCGGCAUCCCUCAAACUAUAACAACCGAUCAAGGAACAAUGUUCACAUCGGGGGAAUUUGAGGAAUUUACGACCGAUAUGGGCAUCAAGUUGUUAAAUUCUUCUCCAUAUUACGCUCAGGCCAAUGGUCAAGCAGAAUCUUCCAACAAAGGAAUAAUCAAGUUGAUCAAAAGGAAGAUUGAAGAAUACCCGAAGAAGUGGCACCUAUGUUUGACCGAAGCCCUAUGGGCAUACAGAAUGGCCUGUCAUGGGGCCACCAAGUUAUCUCCCUAUCAGUUGGUAUACGGUCAGGAUGCAGUACUUCCGUGGGAGUCAAGGGCAGGAUCAAGGCGCAUUUUACUUCAAGACCAGUUGUCAGCCAAUGACUACUCGUCUCUUAUGAAGGAAGAACUUGAUGAUUUGGCCGGCCAACGACUAAGGGCUCUGAUAAGUAUCGAAGAGAAUAAAAAGAGAGUGGCCAGGUGGUACGAUAAAAAGGUCAAAGUCAAGCAGUUCUCCCCCGGAGAUUUGGUAUGGAAGUUGGUACUACCGAUCGGGUCGAAAGAUCCUAAAUUCGGCAAAUGGUCUCCUACCUGGGAGGGGCCGUAUAAAAUCGGCAAAUGCGCUCCAGGGAAUGCCUAUAUCUUGGAAACAAUAGAAGGAGAAGAAUUCACUAGAGCUCUGAAUGGGAGGUACUUAAAAAGAUAUUACCCAAGUAUAUGGGUCGGUGCCUAAGGAAUCAACACGAUCAUACAUGACCGACACGAUUCGGUCUUGAGACACACAUAAAGUCGACCGGAACGGCCGAUUACAUUCAUUCGGUAUGGGCGACGGGUCACAUGGCCGACAAAAUGUUUAGUCGCCCUUAGAACAAAAAAUACAGCAACUAAUUAUUCUUUUUCUUACGCUCCCUCUCAGCCCGACCUAACUCUAUCAUGAGUCGGAUGUAUUCUUCUUCUAUGGCCUUCAUUGAAAUCUCCGCCUCGACUUGACGGGGGAGAUCUACGGGAGGGCGUGAAGUCCCCGCUCCCGCAUCUUCAAGAACGACUUGCCGAGGGAGUGGAUGACUCCUGCCGAUGGGAGGUCGCCGGCUGCCGUUCCUCUCCACGAAGUCCAGGAUCGUUCGGGCCUCCGUGGCAAUGUCGUCUUCAAGAUCGCCACAACGAUUGCUCCUGACAGGUGGAGAUUGAUGGUUACUUUCACUCACCACGGAAUCCAAGACUACGCGAGCCUCCGUGGUAACGUGGUCCUGGAGCUCCUCUCGGUGAGCCACGAUCAGCAUCUUGUCCUCCGAUGUUAAUGGAUCUUCGAAAUGAAUGCGCUCAAUGGCGCGCACGAGCUCGGGGCUAAGACGUUGAUGCUGAAACAAAGAAGGAAUGAGGGGGAUAUCCUUCCCCUUAGGGUCUAAGAAAGAAAGGAAGGUAGAGGUCAAAGACUUCACCUGGUUAACAGAGGAAGAAGAAGACGACGAGGCCAUGGCAGAGAAAUUGCGCCGAUGAGAAGGGGCAGAAAAGUUAAACCGAGGGCCAAGAUUGGUGCUACCAGGAGUAAGCGCCGAGGUUGGUAUUUAUAAAAGAAUGCGUGGAAAUCUGGUAAAGCUACGUCCCAUUGGUAAUAAGAAGGCAAUAAAUAGAAAGGGCGUCGCGAGGGGCGGUCAAAGAAGAUAGUAAAUGAUUCGUACAAAACGGUCAGUGUUUUUACAGAUUACCCAGAAGGGUAUCGAUAGUCGUGAUGGCCCGGCGCCGGAUCUGAUCGGCAGAGUCAAGAACCCGUUGGUCUUCUUCCGCCGAUCCAGGAACCUCCGAUGCGCUGCGAUGAAGUCUCAGUGCCUCGUGAGCAAAGCGUUGCCUCUCCCGUGUUAAAUCGGCAAUAACAGAAGGAAGCUCUUGGAGUUUGUUCUCUUCGGCACUGAUUGCCUUGGUCACUUGCUCCAUUUCCUUGGCAAGCUCCGCCCUCCGACGUUUGAGACGGUCUAUCUCACCUAUGAUCGCCGGGCGGGAGUCUUCUAGAACAUGGAUACGCCGAUUCGCCUCUUGAGCCUGACGCUUGAAAGCGUCUUCCUCUUCGCGAGCCUUGGUCAGCUUGGCGCGAUCGGCCAUGUGACGAAGGGCUCUGAAGACCGGGAUCCUCAUAGACUCGAUGAAGGCUGCCGGCGCCAGGGCCUCCUCCGCCUCUUCUGGUACUCGUCCGCUGACGUCAUUGAAGAGCUGCCGAAUCGGUGAAGCGUCUUCUACUAAUCGGCCGAUGUCCCCUUGAAGGAGGGAUCGGAUGCUGGAAAGUUUGGCUCGGACGUCAUCAGGAACAGAACUCAAGGCGACUUGGCGAGAAGCAACUUCUUCGUCGUCAGAGAGGGCGACCGCAAAAGAAAAGAGGCUGUUGUCGGGGGUAUCCUGUUCCUGAUGAUAAUAAAGAAAAGAAAUAAACCAGCUGUAAGAAAGAGCAAAUCGGCUGAGAUAGAAGCAGAAGCAGAAAAGUUACCAUUUUGAAGCGAAUCUCCUCAUGUUGCACUUGAGAAGCCGCCAUGCCUUGCUCGGGGGCCUGCGUCAUGGGUUCAUCAGAUGAAGAGGACUCCACGAUAAUCGGCGCCGUGCUUGGACCAGCCCCCUGAAAGGAAAUCGGCGAUCGAGGAGCGAUUGAUGUGCCGAUGGCCUGUGUCAGAAGUUUGAAUAAAUACGGUACGUGAAUGCCCAAAGGAAAUCGGUACGAGAAGUUCUAUACCGUAACGGAAGGAAACGGGGGCGCGUCAAUAGCUGGAGGGGCUGCUGCCGAUUGUGGUACUUCUGUAGGAAUGCUCUGUGCAGUUUAAAGAUAAAAGAAAAGUUAAUAUCAAAAAUAAUAAUCGGAGGCAUGCGCAACUCAGUUUUACCUGUAUGGCCUCCAACAACAACGAUGCGGCGGCCGCCCCAGCUUGCGUCAUAGCUUGAGUAUCGGCACCUUGAAUGACUUGAGGAGGUGGUACGGCCGAAGUUUCUGCCGAUACGCUCACAGGAGGAUCCGCCGAUCCCGUACGAGCCCGGACUCGGCGACUGGUCUUCUUGGUAGUCCUUUUAUGAACUUGUUUCGAUCGGCCAGUAAUCACGUCAACAGACGGGGCGUUAUAGCCGAUAAGGGGAUAAGUAGUGUAUGGAUGACUCUCUAUCAGUCGUCCGCUGCGGCUGUGUGUUGGAGGGAUCCGAUUCUCGGCCUAAAAUAAUAAAAUCAUUAGUACUCGAUCGUGCUAAGAGGAAUAAAAGGGAAUAAAAAUCGGCUAUGUGAAGUACCUCGGCGUUUGGAUCAAUGUUGGUCGGGUCCAGAAGAUUGCAGUAUGCCGAUGCUGAGUUGCAGAAGAGGAAUUGCUUCCAAUCAGCCCACCAGAGUUUGAACGGCUGGACAGCAAAUGGAGCUACUAGCCAGUCGUUCAAGUUAAUUGUACUGGAGUCUGGAAUUCGGUCUCGCAACCGACCGUAAUCUAGGCCAGAUGUGAGAUCAUCUCUAAACUUGAUUUUGCCAGCAAAGUACACCUGAAUCGGCAGCUGAACCAUGCCGAAUUGUCGUGCUGCAGCAGAAGGGUUGUAGAAUUCGUACGUAGGGGCAUCCUUCCCUGAGAAGAAGUUGGCCGGUAGGAUCCCUGGCUUGAUCAACCCUUCAUAGAGAUCUUCAUCAAACCGGCCAGAAGUUGAAUCAAAGCAGGAAGGGAGCUCGAAGAUGGGAAUGUCUCGCUGAUAUGGAAACCAGAUAGUUGCGUCCUCAUUAAAUCCAUUAUAAAAAGACCGAAAGUACUCGGCUACCUUUGUAGCGGAAUACGCACAACCUGGAAAAGCUGAUGCUGCUUCACCAUAAGACAUGCAUCGGCGGCGCUCGGUAGGGUCUUCUGCCGAUUCAAUAUUGGGAAAUGUCAUGCGGUCCACUGGCUGCCGAGUGAUCCUGUUCAUAUAAAGGUUCAACCAUAAAUUGACAAACCACCAAGGCCCACCUGGGUUGCCGAUUGGUUCUCCCUUGGAAAGUUUUGUGCCGAUUUGGUGGAGCAUGUGGUACACAGCACCCAGAAGAUGUUUCCCGAGAGGAAUAUGGCUUCCUUUGGACAGUGCCUCGGCUAAAGAUUGGGUGUUGGUUGUUGGGCCGGCGGCUCUUCCACAGAAGAGGUGUUUUUCGAGCCACAUCAUCAGGAAAGCGGUGUGCUCCCUGUUAUCAACAGUACCGGUCUUCUUAUUAUCAUUAAUAAAGCCCUUCCAGCCGCCGAUUCUUCUUGUGUCCAGCCGAUGCGAUGGUACGGUCAGAAGUUGGAAAGGCGUGUCAGGGGAAGAUACAUCUAGGCCGGUCAAGAGGACCACAUCGGCCAGAGUGGGGGUCAUGGGACCGUGGCCAAAUAAGAAUGCAUUAAGUGCGUCAGACCAAAAAUAGGAAGCCGCCAUCACUAGCGGUUCGUUUUUUUCCAUUUGCGACAGGGAAAGGUUGAUACAUUGGCCGAUUUUGAGCUCAUCCCACGAGACGCUCCUUGAUGCGGCUACCCGUUGGUACCAUUCCCUCCAACCUGGGGUUUCAUUCGGCCAAGAUCUAAAAGUGCUGGCCCAUUGAUCUAAGUUCAUAUCAGAUCGUUUGAAAGGUAUCCGAUCAGUUUCCAAGUUUAUGAGGUCUGCUGGAUCCGGGUCUCCCAUGGGACCAAGACAAACAAGGCCAGGACUACCCAUGAGAUGAAUAGUAAUUCUAUGUCUAACCGCCUAAAAAAGGAAAAGGGGCAUAAGAAAUAUAAAGAGUAGAUCUAAGAUAAAUACGUUACCGAUAGAGGAAAGAUUCGGUAUUUACCUCCGGUAUAAAAUUCUGAGUAAUCGGUGUAGUCGUCGAUGCAGAUGCGGAUGAUGGAGUCGCAAUGGGGAUCGCCAUUGGGAUCUCUGAUGAAGCUCCUUCAUCUGUGGAUGGAGUGACGGUUGUCGCCACCGUUACCGAAGGCGCUACCUCUACCGGGGGCAUUAUUCCUGGAGCAUCGCGUGCUGGGGAAUUACCGGAGGGAGUCGCCAUUGAAGGGAAAGGGGAAGAAGUGAUUGGAGCUGAAACUGGAAGACUUCGAUGGCAAGAUUGAAGAAAGAAGGAGAUGCGCGCGCUGGAAAAGGAGAUGCGAGCUUGAAGAUGAGUUGCGGUGAAAUGAUAUUUAUAGGGUGCCUGAAGAAAGGGUAAAGAUGGAAUUUUCACCGCGCCGGCGCAUCGAGAUUUUUGGGGUAGUGGCUGUCGUGGGCGCCCGUUUCAAAAAAUUGCAAUGAUCAGCCGGGAGACCGCGAAACGGAUAUUUUCACUGCGGCCGUUUCGGAGGAGAGGUUAUAAAGAAUUUCGAAGUAAAAGAUUAUGUUUUACUCCGAAACUGGGGGGCAUGUGUUGACGCCGGAUUUCGUCAUCAGUAGAAUCGGUGCCUAAGAAGAAAGAAAUCGAAGGAAUACGGGUGGGGAUCGGCCAAAAGGUGCUACAAUGCGGAAUCGGUCAAGUGGCUUUUACUUCGCUUCAGGGUGAAUGCGCCAGGUUCCCAAUCGGCAAUCCUUUAAGAAAUCGGCCGAUCGGGAAGGUGGAUUAAGGUGGGCCUGUAUGGGCUUGGAAAGAUGGAGGGAUAAGGUGGAGUUCAGCCCACGGAGUGUGGGGUAAUUAGUUUAGUACGGAUUGUGCUUGUAGAUAUUUGUUUUCUGUUUGAAUUAGAGAUAGAGUCCUAGUCGGUUAAGAAGAUUAUUUGUACGGGGCUAUAAAUAGCUACCUUUGUAAAUCUGUAAACACAACAAUCAAUCAAUACAACAAGUUACUUUCUUCUGCGCAUCUACUUUUGAGCAGGCGACUUCGCCAUCAAUUUUCUUUCUCACGAGUUCGUACGGGUUGGCAGGGCUGCAUCGUCUUGAUCUCCGGCCGAUUCUGUAAGUUCCGUUUAUCGAGUAAUAUCUAGGCUUUGACUUCCGGCGUAUCGCUAUUGUUUCGUCUAGAUUUAUUCACCAGUUAUCGAUAUUGACUAGAUUCAUAGGUUUUUACCUGCCUUCCUAGUUUUUAUCACCAGUUAUCCCGCUAGGAAUCGGUAGUAUCGGCUUUCAUUACUUCCUGUUGCCAGAUCCAUCUGUUGCCGAUUAGAUCUUUUCCUAGUGCUGUUAUUACGUGCCUUGUACCGAUUACUUUAAUAUUUUUCUAUCUACAAGGCUACGGGGAUCGUGCUGUCUCGUGGCCGAUUUCUUUACCAUAGUAAAUCGGCUGAUCUGCCAAUAAACUCUCUCGAUCGGAAACUUAGCCGAUCGUAGUUACUGAAUUUGACACGUGUUCUUCCUUGCCAAUCAACAGGUCAGAUUGGCUGGCACGCCGCGUGAACCGCACCAGGGCAUUCACCCGAACAGGAGCUAAGCAGAUUCUCCCGGGUCGUGUGUCGGUUGCUGGGAUUCGGUUGACCGAGUUCUAGCGCCAACAGACCUGUUACAUGCCUUUACAAAGUAAGAGCAUGUUAGCAGAUCCUUACUCCCCAAUCCAACUACCAUAUUGGGAGGGUUAACGAAAAAUAGUGUUCCAGCAGAUUCUUUUUUACUUUUUUCCAUUUCACAAUAGUUAUUGGGACAAACUAAUAAUCCACCCUAACUUAUCCUAAAAAAAGAGUAUCUCAAUACGGUAGUUUGGAUUGUGAUUAUUGGGGAACUGCAAAAACAACUUUUCCGAUAACCAUAAAAGAAAUAUUGGGACAUUUCCAUUAGCUUGUUAUUAGGAAAAAUUGAUUGGAAAACUGUUGAAGAUGCUCUAAGGGAUUCUCAAGUUGGCGUGCGACUGCGCACGCGGUGGGGGGAGCACAAGCAACCCAAUAUGACCUAAUUUUAGCCCAAGUUAGGUUUAGUUGUGGCCGAACUAACAUCCAUGUUCUAUUUUUUUUCCCUUUCUUCAUUCUUUUGGGUUUUACAUUUUCUUGUCCUUUUCUUUAAUUAUUUCCUUUUAUAUUAUUCUGCAUAUUAUUUUUAUUUCCUUUAUAUUUAUUAUUUGUUUCUAUUAUUUGUUUUGUUUUCUUUUCUGUUUUUUGACACCCGGCCCAAUUUGGUUGGCCCAGUGUGGCCCAUUAGCGCAGGUGCGCAUGUUUAGUACCACAUUGCUAGUUUAGCAAGGGUGGAGGCAACUUAUAAGCCUUCGUCAACCAGCCAUAGUACCUUCGGGUUAACCCUUUUACACGAAGCGAGGACGAAAGUGUAAGCAGGGUGCUAUGUGUACGUGUGCCCGCCCCUCGGAAGGGUUGGGCGGUGCGGCUUUGGAGGACGGGGUGUUACAGUUUUCCUUUUCUACUAGGAAAUUCUAACUUUUCAUUUAUUUUAUUGUUUCCAUUUUUAUUAUCUUUUAUGCUUCUUUUCUUUUUUAUUUUUAGUAACAAUUUUUUUGUAUAUUUUGUUUGCUAGUAAGAAUAAUUUAUUCAAUUAGUUUUCUUUAUUGUUUCACUCUAGCACUACUUUAAAAAUCAUUUGUGCAUACGAUCAUUCUAUUUUUUUUUUACAACGGUGCUUAAUAACAACCGUCUCUAGCAAGGGUUCCAAAAAUACAAGUAUCUAUAGAGGUGGGCCACAUAAUUAAGUAAUUGUCUGAAAAUCAAUUCGAAAGGCACGCCACCUAAGCUACCACUACUAGAAAUUGACUUCUAGAGGCAGGCCUAAUAAGCAACUGCCUCUAAAAAUGUAAACAACCAAUUUUACAUAAAAAUAAUAGCCUUUAUUUAAUGAAGAAGAAUGAAGACAAAUUUACUAGCAUAACUAUAGAGCUCGAUGACAUCUAAAACUUCAUAGUUCAUAACCUUUUCAUUUAAGACUAUUUACAGGCCCAAAUAAAAUUCAUCACCAUUUCUUAUAUUUAUUUUUAAAAAUAAAUUAUGAUUUCCAAAAUGGCCUUGGAAGGAGAUGUGCUCUUCACAAAAGUUGUAGUGCAUGACGAGAUCUAAAAAUUUGUAAUUGAUAUUUUUUUUUCAAAUUUAUGAUCGUUAGAGUGUCAAAUGCAUAGUACAAUAUUCAGAGAAGUGAAAUCAAAAGAAUCCCUCAUAUAGUUAAUAUGUGUUUCGUAAAGAGAGCUACGCGUGAAGAGAGCUGUCAUACCAUGAAUUUUUUGGAAUUCAGGAUCUGACUAGAAAUAAUAAUUAAACAAUAAUUUUCUAAUAAUUUAAUUUUUUCAACAUUUAUUUUCUUGAGAGGAAAUUUAGUACUGGAAAAUGAUUGGUUGUUUUUUCUAAAUUAAAUAAAUUAGUUCUUUGUGUGUUGGAUUCAUGCCGAGGCAUCUUGGUGUUUCAUGAGUGCAGACAUUUUAAAAAUGCGUUUCUAUAACAUUUAGGUUCUUCUAAGAAUUUUCCAAAUUUUUCUAGGAUCUAUUCUCAUUUUCCUAGAG
rnacentral:lncRNA from 1 species